CCUGCUCUGAGGAAUGCCAGCCUCCCUGUGUGAGCUACCCUAUGGAGAGGCCCAGCAGGCAAGGAACUCCUGUCUCUGCCCACUAGCUAGUGAGGACAUGAGACCUACCAACAGCUGGAUGAAUGAUCUUGAAAGUGGAUAUUCUGAGGCUUGCCAACAGCCACGUGAGUGAUCUUGGAAGAACGUUCUCUCAGACAAGACUUGAGGUGAAGGCCACCUUAGCCGACACCUUGACAGCACCCUGGGACAGGCUCUGAGCUAAAGGAUUCUGGUAAGCUCUUCCUGGAUUCCAGACCCAUAGAAACUGUGAGAAAGAAGCAAAAGGGGAAGGAGGAGGAGGAAAAAGAAUCUCAAGCAGACUUUUUGCUCAGUGUAGGGCCCUGUGCGCAGUUCGAACCCAUGACACUGAGAUCAUGACCUGAGUCAAAAUCAAGAGUCAGACACUCAACUGACUGUGUCACCCAGGAGACCAUGCAGUCCUCCCAUGCCUGGAGCCUUCCACAGCCUCAGAUGAUGCAAUGGACCAGAACAGAACAGGCCUCAUCAGAGUGAAGAGACUGUAUUGUGAGAGCCUUCAUGAACAGAGGGCAGGAUUUCAGUUCCUCCAUCAGAACUGCCUGAUUACAGGCUGAACUGAGUAGUUGACACAAUGAUCAUGUGGCCCAUGAGACCUAAAAUAUUUACUGACCCUGUUCAGAAAAAUGUUGCCAACUCCUAGUAUAGGAAAUACUGAAUUUUAGGGCUAUAAUAAACAUAGUGUAUUGAUCUCAGGCAAUUGAGGGUGCUAAUGAUUAUAGGAAGAUGUAAAAUAAUGGAUUAUAUAAUUUGAUGAUUUAUUGGAAAAUAAAAUUAGGAAUUGCUUGGUUUGCCUAGUUAUCACAGACUCUGGUGGCAUAAACAGCAACCUAUUAUUUCUCAUAGGUCUGGAGGUGGGACAUCCUAAAUCAGAGUACUGGCAGAUCUGGUGUCUGGUGUAGGCCUCCGUGCAGGCCUGCCACCUUGUCAUAUCCUCAUGUGGCCAGAAAAGACCUAGCUAGCCCUCUAGCCUUUCCUUGUAAGGGCGUUAAUCCCAGUCUUGAGGGUGGAGCCCUCCCAAAGGUCCCACCUCACAAUACAAUCACAUUGGGAUUAAGGUUUUAACAUAUGAAUUUUAUUGGAAAACACGAACACUCAGUACAUAACAGGAACAAUGCAGAAAUUAUAUAAAAUCUGAAUUAAAAUAAUUGAUCUCAAUUUGGAAAAGAGAAGAAGGAAAGAGAGAAUCAAAUCCAGAACUAAAAUAGUCCAAUAAAGCCCUAAGUGUUAGCAUUUAUUAAGUACCAGCCUGAAUCAAAAGUUUAUAAUGGGCUUAUAAUAAAAAAGUGGAAGAACUAGGUUAUGAAAAAUCAUGUAUCAUCUUGACAAGUUAGAAAGAUGUAUCAAAUGUAUGUAUUUAUGAUUUAAAUGAAAAUUAUUAUGGUAGGUAUUUUUAAAAUAUUUUAUAAUU